rnacentral:rRNA from 1 species
UGUAAACGAUGAGUGCUAAAUGUGAGGAUUUUAUCUUUGUAUUGUAGCUAACGCGUUAAGCACUCCGCCUGGGGACUACGGUCGCAAGACUAAAACUCAAAGGAAUUGACGGGGACCCGCACAAGCGGUGGAGCAUGUGGUUUAAUUCGAUGCUACGCGAAAAACCUUACCACUUUUUGACAUGAAGGUCGUAUCCCUCCUAACAGGGGGAGUCAGUUCGGCUGGACCUUACACAGGUGCUGCAUGGUUGUCGUCAGCUCGUGUCGUGAGAUGUUGGGUUAAGUCCCGCAACGAGCGCAACCCUCAUUCUUAGUUACCAACAGGUAAUGCUGGGCACUCUAAGGAAACUGCCAGUGAUAAACUGGAGGAAGGUGGGGAUGAUGUC